rnacentral:rRNA from 1 species
GAUGAACGCUAGCGGCAGGCUUAACACAUGCAAGUCGAGGGGCAGCACGGGUAGCAAUACCUGGUGGCGACCGGCGGAAGGGUGCGUAACGCGUGAGCAACAUGCCCUAUACAGGGGAAUAAUCCAGGGAAACUUGGUCUAAUGCCCCAUAGCAAUAAGAUAAGGCAUCUUAUUUUAUUUAAAGCUUCGGUGGUAUAGGAUUGGCUCGCGUGACAUUAGCUGGAUGGAGAGGUAACGGCUCACCAUGGCAAUGAUGUCUAGGGGUUCUGAGAGGAAGGCCCCCCACACUGGGACUGAGACACGGCCCAGACUCCUACGGGAGGCAGCAGUGAGGAAUAUUGGACAAUGGAUGGAAAUCUGAUCCAGCCAUGCCGCGUGCAGGAAGACGGCCCUAUGGGUUGUAAACUGCUUUUCUACGGGAGCAAUAAGGUCUACGAGUAGACUGAUGAGAGUACCGUAGGAAUAAGCAUCGGCUAACUCCGUGCCAGCAGCCGCGGUAAUACGGAGGAUGCGAGCGUUAUCCGGAUUUAUUGGGUUUAAAGGGUGCGUAGGCGGCUUUUUAAGUCAGCGGUGAAAUUUUGCAGCUCAACUGUAAAAGUGCCUUCGAAACU